GUCCACGCCCUAAACGAUGUAUACUUGGUUGCGGCGGCUUUGACGCCGUCGUGGCCGGAGCAAAAGUGUUAAGUAUACCGCCUGGGGAGUACGGUCGCAAGGCUAAAACUCAAAGAAAUUGACGGGGCUCACACAAGCGGUGGAGCAUGUGGCUUAAUUCGAAGCAACGCGCAGAACCUUACCAGGGCUUGACAUGUACGGAUUAGUGGGGUGAAAGCCUCAUGACGCUCGCAAGAGUGGAACGUACACAGGUGCUGCAUGGCUGUCGU
rnacentral:rRNA from 1 species